ensembl:lncRNA
CUCAACAGCUCUAGUGUGGGGAAGACUCCUCUGAAAGAGCUGGACGUGCAGAUCAGGAAGCACCUUCCACAGGUCCAAGGAGGAGUGCUGGGGAGCCUGGAGAUAUAGCAGGCUGGUGGGCAGACCGAGGGGAGGGGCCUAAAGUUAACUGGGCCGGGGGAGGCAACAAUGAGAGGGCACAGAAAUAACAGUCGGUGGGGCAGAAGGUCAGAGAGGGCGGUGGACCCUGAAACAGGGCCUGGAGAGCUGUUGGCAGUAACCCUCACUUUAGUGAACUUCUUGGGACACUAGAAAGAAAGGCUCAGAAACAACCUGGUUACAUGGAGAACCCCUGUGGGGAGUUUGCGGACCACUGGAGAGGAGGAUUCUGGGGAAAGACAGGCAUGCUUGUAAUUCAAGGUGAUUAUUCAAGAGCGGACUCUGAGCGUCUAGAUCUGGAGCCAACUGAACUUGAUUAAUAUUCAACGAGGUCACCACUAUACCAGAUGUCCGCUUCUCUGACCCACCACAGGAAGAUCACUAUGCGGGACUUGUAAAAGAGAUUUCCAAAACUCAGUUUUGUAACUUUUGGCCACGUGUCUAUUCAAGAGUAUCAAAGCGUUGAGGCAGUUAUCCAGGAGGUCUGAAAUGACAGAAGGUGUUUGGAGAGCGUGCUUAGCACUCUGUGACUUCCACUCACACUUGCCUUCUCCCUCUCCCUCACUUCCAGCCCAGGGAGGGGAGCUUUAAUGGGAUCCUCAAGGAGCUGGACAUUUAAUUCACAGAGCCGAAGGGGCUUGGUGGACUGAUGUUUGAUUCAUGCCUAAAAAUUCUAAAGGGUAUGAGAACGUGAUUGUGGAUGGCCUGGACUCAUGGACAGAGUUCCACAGAGCAGCAUUUGCAGGUGGCCCAGAGGUGCUGUUGGCCACCUGUGGCAUGUUCAGAGGUAUGAUGGGGAGAUGACACCAGGUGACCAGGAUUCAAAAGGGCUUGCUGAGGUGGUGGAGGCCCAGCAUUCGACAAGGAAAGAGGUGAGGAAAAAAACAGAAAAAUGAGUGGUCAUAAAGCUUCUCAAAUACUACCAUUUUACAUAAGACAAUUUUGGAAACAUCUGAAGUUUGGCAGCAAUUCCAGGAGAAUUUGGCUCUGCAAAUCCCAGUAGCUAAUUGUACUAGUUUGCCAGGGCCACAGACUGGGGGCAUUAAACAAGACUGUAUUUAUUCACCAUUCUGGAGGCUGGAAGUCCGAGAUCCAGGUGCUGAUAGGGUUGGUUCCACCCGGGGCCACUCUCCUUAGCAGUAGAUGCCGUCUUCUCCCUGUGUCCCCACCUGGUCCUCCCUCUGUGUGUCUCUGUGUCCUCAUUUCCUUUUCUGAUAAGGACACCAGUCAGAUUAGAUUAAGUCCCAUCCUAAUGGCCUCAUUUUCACUUAAUUACCUCUUUUAAGAGUCAAAUUCGGAGGCACUGAAGGUUAGGAUUUCAGCAUACGAAUUUUGGGGGGGCAUAAUUCAGCCAAUUGCACUAGUGACCAUCUCAGGGGUCUGUAGAGCCAGCUGGUUCCCUACAGCCAGUGCUCCCCAUCUCCAUUACAGGAGCCGCUGCAGGUAGCCCCAGGUCAUGGUGGCUGCCACGGACCACUGCCUUCAGCACCCUCCCUCCCUCCUCUGUCUCUACUGUCAUCCCCCACAGUGACACACACAUUACCCUUGUGGAUCCUAAAUGUGAAUCGACUGCUCCUCAUUCAUCCUGGGUGUACCCGACAUCUUCGAAUCAUCUCAGGGCCACUCCUAUUUGUUGCCUCGAUCAUUGGCUACUUGAACUUAAAGAGGUCAAAUAAACAGAGUUCAAAGCCAUGGUGCAUGUAAUAAUGUUCGGAAUUCAGGAUGUAGACAGGGAACCUCCCUGAAUGUUGUCACAAUUCUUUUGGUCCUAUAGUAAGGCAUGCCCCACAUUAGAACAUACAGCUCAGAGGAGGUUUCUCCCUGGGGACAGCUAUGCCCCUAGGGAAACGUCCGGUUCACAGUGAGUCACCGCUGAGAGAGCGUCAGCUCAUGUUUUCGGUAAUUUUCGAAUAAAAUGGUAUCUCUAUUAAAUACACGUAUAGAAAGGUAAAAAUAGAUUGAGCAUUUUCUAAGUAGCUCUGGCCCAAGGUAAAGUGGUGAAGGAGUUGUUAGUUCUCUCGGAGCAAAAUAAAGCUGCUCUUCCUUCAUCCCCAGCCACACUUCAACUUCAUCCUAGGACAAACAAGAAAUGCCCCAUAGAAAGAAAAUGAAAACGCUGUUCUUGACUGGACUGCUUCAGAAAUAUGCUUGGAUUGAGAGUUCCAGCUUUUCUGGGAUUCAUUCUUACAGAGUCUAGC